GCAAAGACCGCGAGGUAGAGCAAAUCUCAAAAAAACAAUCUCAGUUCAGACUGCAGGCUGCAACUCGCCUGCACGAAGUCGGAAUUGCUAGUAAUCGUAGGUCAGCAUACUACGGUGAAUACCGGUUCCCGGGCCUUGUACACACCGCCCGUCAAACCAUGAGAGUUGGCAACACCCGAAGUCGGUAGUCUAACCGCAAGGAGGACGCCGCCGAAGGUGGGGUUGAUGAUUAGGGUUAAGUCGUAACAAGGUAUC
rnacentral:rRNA from 1 species